rnacentral:rRNA from 1 species
UACAGAGGUCCCAAGCGUUGUUCGGAUUCACUGGGCGUAAAGGGUGCGUAGGCGGUCGGGUAAGUCUGAUGUGAAAUCUCACAGCUUAACUGUGAAACUGCAUUGGAUACUAUCCGGCUCGAGGAAUGGAGGGGAGACUGGAAUACUUGGUGUAGCAGUGAAAUGCGUAGAGAUCGGGAGGAACACCAGUGGCGAAGGCGGCUACCUGGACCAGCACUGACACUGAAGCACGAAAGCGUGGGGAGCAAACAGG